GCCCUGCCAUCAAUCUGAAAUGCUGCUUUUAAAGUGGACCAUGAAUAAUAGAGCAAAGGAGACCCCAGUGGCCUGUGAAAUGUAGAAACAUCUAUGAUGGCGCUGAUGCAGUGCCUCCAGAAUCCAGUACCAUGCACAGCAGAGCGCACCCCUCUAGUUCUGUAACAGUGCACUACUGUGGUGUCCAGGCAUAUGUUUGUGGGGGUGAGGAGGAGCAGGACGAUGGUGCCGAUCUCUUAUCAGCCUUGAUGAGGAAUUAGUUUUUACCGGAGCUUACCCCCCCCUCCUUCAGUGGCCUUCAGGAUGUACGGGGAUGGAGAGGGCACGGUGUGGGACCGGGUCGGGCGGCCCCACAGGGACUGUAUGUGCUACCUUGGACCUCCGACCUCUUUGAUGCCGAUGUAAGACAUUUAAAGUUUGACUGAUGCGCUGCAGCAGAGGGAGAGAGGCGAGCUGCACCUGUUGCGCACGAGAUUUCAAAGCUUUAUUGAUGAAGAGAAACGACUCUGUGAGAAGAAAUGUACAAAAGCGCACCAGAGUUUGAUGUGUUUAUGUUACAAUAUUGGGGAAAUCACUUGCUACAAUUUGUUGCAUGCAAAUAAAUGUUUGGGUAAUGCUUAAGUUGGACGUGUGGUGGAUUUUA